rnacentral:lncRNA from 1 species
ACAAAUAAACUCAUCAUAGCAAGGCGCAUGUGUUAUCCUAGUGUUUAAAAAAAAACAGUAAUCAACUGAAUGCUUCACUCUCCUAAUCAGUGGCCUGGGACGACGGACGUGUAAAACUAUUUAGGGAAAAUUGCAAAAAGGGAACAAAUAUUCAACAUAAUUAUCUUUUUGGUAUAAUAUCAUCACUAAGUUGUCCUUUUAGUAUAACUUUUUCAUAAUGCCAAAACUAACCCUUGAUUCAUCAAAUUAAUCAAAUAAAUAUGUUUAAAAGACAAAAUAAAAAUAAAAAAAAUAAUUAUAAUAUAUUACUAAUAUAUUUAACGUUUUUUAUAUUAAUAUAAAAAAUUGAUAUAAACAACUGAAUUCAAAAUAAUUAUAUAAAUACAUUAAUAAAAAGAAAUGAAUACGUUAAUAAAAAUUUAAUUAACAUAAAGAUCACACAAAAAGUUUUUUAAUAUUUUAUUUUAUAAAUUGUACAUUUAAAUUUGCAAACAGAUUUUUCCAAAAUUUCGACUAAACUUUUUUAGUCAAUAUUCAACAAUUUUUAGUGAAUGUUAACUAUUUUAUAAAUUAUUUAAAUAUCUUAAAUUCUUAUUAAAUAUUUUAAAUAAGUAAUCAUAUUUGAUAAACAAUUUUAUACUUUAAACAAUUAUAAUAUGUAACACUUGUAUACUAAUAUUUUUACGAUACUUAUAUACUUAAAUUCAAUUAUUAAUUUUAAUAUAUAAAGUUCAUUAAAAAUAAAAUAUUCUCAUGCCAACUUGGUUUACAGAGUCAACAUGAGUCUGUAAAUUCUUUGCUGUCAAAAAAAAAAAAAAAAUCUCAUGCAUAGAUAAUAACAUUUAUAUAUUCCCGUGAUAUACACAAUUGAAUU